AGACCGAUAGCGAACAAGUACAGUGAUGGAAAGAUGAAAAGCACUUUGAAAAGAGAGUGAAACAGCACGUGAAAUUGUUGAAAGGGAAGGGCUUGCAAGCAGACACGGUUUUACCGGGCCAGCGUCGAAAAGGGGGGAGGAACAAGAACUCGAGAAUGUGGCGCGCACCUUCGGGCGCGCGUGUUAUAGCUCGUGUUGACGCCUCCAUCCCUUUUUCGAGGCCUGCGAUUUCUAGGACGCUGGGCGUAAUGGUUGCAAGCCGCCCGUCUUGAAACACGGACCAAG
rnacentral:rRNA from 1 species